rnacentral:lncRNA from 1 species
AUAUAUAUAAAUUGAUACAAAAUUUAUAUAUAAUAAUUAUCAUGCUAUAUAUAUUAUUAUAACUUAUAUUUUUAAAUUUUAUAUAUCAAAAUUAUAUUGCAUGUUAAGACAGUCUAGUUACUAUACUUUUAUGAGUAUGAUUGUUUUUUUACUCAUAAGUCGUUUUUUAUAACAGAACUUUCGAAUCGAUGAUCCAUACUAUUAAACAUUAUCCAGAAAAUUUAAAUUUUUUAAAAUUAAAUUUUAUAAUUUUUUAACUACCUUACGAUCAAAAGAUCUCAAAAUUGACAAUUUUUAACUGCCAGUAUGAAAUACUUGCUAGUUUAAUAGUGUAAAAGAAUCAGAAUCGGUUGAAUUUUUGAUAGAAAAUUCUAUUCACUAUCUAGAUAAAGAUCAAUAACUCCGAUCUUAAAUUGAAUGAUCCGAUCAUUCUUUUUUAGGACGUCGUUUGAUUUUGACCGUUCAUUUUAUACCCGCUUGAUAAAUUUUAUUAUAAUUUCAAAAAAUUAUAAAAUUUAUUUUUAAAAAAUUUUAACUACUCUAUAUCAUAUUUUCAUCAUGAAAAAUAAUUUAUGAGUACAAAUUAUUCUAUACUCAUAAAAUUAUAGUAGCUUGUAUCUAUAUAUUAAUAGGACUCUCUCUCUCUCUCUCUCUCUCUCUCU